UCGAGCGGACAGAUGGGAGCUUGCUCCCUGAUGUUAGCGGCGGACGGGUGAGUAACACGUGGGUAACCUGCCUGUAAGACUGGGAUAACUCCGGGAAACCGGGGCUAAUACCGGAUGGUUGUCUGAACCGCAUGGUUCAGACAUAAAAGGUGGCUUCGGCUACCACUUACAGAUGGACCCGCGGCGCAUUAGCUAGUUGGUGAGGUAACGGCUCACCAAGGCGACGAUGCGUAGCCGACCUGAGAGGGUGAUCGGCCACACUGGGACUGAGACACGGCCCAGACUCCUACGGGAGGCAGCAGUAGGGAAUCUUCCGCAAUGGACGAAAGUCUGACGGAGCAACGCCGCGUGAGUGAUGAAGGUUUUCGGAUCGUAAAGCUCUGUUGUUAGGGAAGAACAAGUGCCGUUCAAAUAGGGCGGCACCUUGACGGUACCUAACCAGAAAGCCACGGCUAACUACGUGCCAGCAGCCGCGGUAAUACGUAGGUGGCAAGCGUUGUCCGGAAUUAUUGGGCGUAAAGGGCUCGCAGGCGGUUUCUUAAGUCUGAUGUGAAAGCCCCCGGCUCAACCGGGGAGGGUCAUUGGAAACUGGGGAACUUGAGUGCAGAAGAGGAGAGUGGAAUUCCACGUGUAGCGGUGAAAUGCGUAGAGAUGUGGAGGAACACCAGUGGCGAAGGCGACUCUCUGGUCUGUAACUGACGCUGAGGAGCGAAAGCGUGGGGAGCGAACAGGAUUAGAUACCCUGGUAGUCCACGCCGUAAACGAUGAGUGCUAAGUGUUAGGGGGUUUCCGCCCCUUAGUGCUGCAGCUAACGCAUUAAGCACUCCGCC
rnacentral:rRNA from 1 species